AUGCACCGUCACACCAUCCUCUCAGAUAUCCCAUACAAGGUCGUCUGGUGUUGGACUGAGUCUGAAGUCUACAACGCCACUUCUCACUACUUCGCUAUGUUCAUUGGCUCGUUGUCGGACCUGCACUGGUGGCUAACUUGGAAAACUUGGGCGCCUUUGAACACCAAGAUAUUCAUGUGGCUGGCCGCCCAAGUCCGGUGCUGGACCACGGAAAGGGUCACACGCCAUGGCUUGCCUCAUGCCAAGUGUUGCCUCCUUUGCGACCAGGAGCCAGAGAGCAUGCAACAACUCCUGGUUGGAUGCUCCUUCUCUCGCUAGCUAUGAUACGAGUUCCUCGCAUGGUGCCAUUCCACCAUUGCUCCAACCUACCCAACGUCCUCUUCUCGGAGUGGUGGCUCGAUGCCUUGGCCACGUCCCCUUCCUUCUGCCGAAAAGGGCUCUCUUCCCUCUUCCUUCUGA
rnacentral:rRNA from 1 species